CAGUUCGGCUGGAUCUUAGACAGGUGUUGCAUGGCUGUCGUCAGCUCGUGUCGUGAGAUGUUGGGUUAAGUCCCGCAACGAGCGCAACCCUCGCCUUUAGUUGCCAUCAUUAAGUUGGGCACUCUAGAGGGACUGCCGGUGAUAAGCCGGAGGAAGGUGGGGAUGACGUCAAGUCCUCAUGGCCCUUAUGGGUUGGGCUACACACGUGCUACAAUGGCGGCGACAAUGGGCAGCGAAGGGCGACCCGGUGCAAAUCCCAAAAAGCCGUCUCAGUUCGGAUUGCACUCUGCAACUCGAGUGCAUGAAGGUGGAAUCGCUAGUAAUCGCGUAACAGCAUGACGCGGUGAAUACGUUCCCGGGCCUU
rnacentral:rRNA from 1 species